rnacentral:rRNA from 1 species
AAUAGAUACCCAGGUAGUCCACGCCGUAAACGAUGAGUGCUAAGUGUUAGGGGGUUUCCGCCCCUUAGUGCUGCAGCUAACGCAUUAAGCACUCCGCCUGGGGAGUACGGUCGCAAGACUGAAACUCAAAGGAAUUGACGGGGGCCCGCACAAGCGGUGGAGCAUGUGGUUUAAUUCGAAGCAACGCGAAGAACCUUACCAGGUCUUGACAUCCCAUUGACCGCUAUGGAGACAUAGCUUUCCCUUCGGGGACAGUGGUGACAGGUGGUGCAUGGUUGUCGUCAGCUCGUGUCGUGAGAUGUUGGGUUAAGUCCCGCAACGAGCGCAACCCUUGUUCUUAGUUGCCAUCAUUUAGUUGGGCACUCUAAGGAGACUGCCGGUGACAAACCGGAGGAAGGUGGGGAUGACGUCAAAUCAUCAUGCCCCUUAUGACCUGAGCUACACACGUGCUACAAUGGACGGUACAAACGGUUGCCAACCCGCGAGGGGGAGCUAAUCCGAUAAAACCGUUCUUAGUUCGGAUUGUAGGCUGCAACUCGCCUACA